rnacentral:lncRNA from 1 species
CGAAAAUCGGUAUUUUGUAGAUUUGCGAGUGUGCGAAUGCUCGUGAGGUAAAUCGAUUAAUGUUUUUGGUAAGCUGCAAAAUUUGGACUGCAAAGUGCAUGAUUUCUGUGCCCUCGAUAUUUUUGGGCUUAAUGGGCCAAAAUUGAAAUGAUGGGCCAACGGGCCCAAUUCGGUAAGAACCCUCGGUACGUGAUUCUGUUAGUACGUGAAAAGUA